GAUAAACGCUGGCGGCGUGCUUCAGGCAUGCAAGUCGAACGGGCGUCUACCCUUCGGGGUAGCCGCUAGUGGCGGACGGGUGAGUAACACGUAAGUAACCUGCCCAGAAGUGGGGAAUAACCCACCGAAAGGUGAGCUAAUACCGCAUGUGAUGGUUUUCCUUCGGGAGGACUAUUAAAGGCGUAAGCCGCUUCUGGAGGGGCUUGCGGCCGAUUAGCUAGUUGGUGGGGUAACGGCCUACCAAGGCAACGAUCGGUAGCUGGUCUGAGAGGACGGACAGCCACACGGGGACUGAGAUACGGCCCCGACUCCUACGGGAGGCAGCAGCUAGGAAUCUUGGGAAUGGGCGAAAGCCUGACCCAGCAACGCCGCGUGGGGGAUGAAGGCCUUCGGGUCGUAAACCCCUUUUGUGAGGGACGAUGAUGACGGUACCUCACGAAUAAGCCACGGCUAACUACGUGCCAGCAGCCGCGGUAAUACGUAGGUGGCAAGCGUUGUCCGGAUUUACUGGGCGUAAAGGGCGUGCAGGCGGUCUGUU
rnacentral:rRNA from 1 species